UACGGAGGGUGCAAGCGUUAUCCGGAUUCAUUGGGCUUAAAGCGUGUGUAGGCGGCUAGGUAAGUCCGUGGUGAAAUCCUGCAGCUUAACUGCAGAACUGCCAUGGAUACUAUCUAUCUUGAAUGUCGUGGAGGUUAGCGGAAUAUGUCAUGUAGCGGUGAAAUGCUUAGAGAUGACAUAGAACACCCAUUGCGAAGGCAGCUAACUACGCGAUAAUUGACGCUGAUGCACGAAAGCGUGGGGAUCAAACAGG
rnacentral:rRNA from 1 species